rnacentral:misc_RNA from 1 species
UAAUAAGUGUUUAUGGCACUUUUUAAAUCCAUAUCCACCUUGUGUGCAAUGUCAGUCGAUCUUCUUCAUGGAGAUCGACCAAACAUCAACCUUUAUUUUUAACUCUUUGUCUGAAAAAUAUUAUGAAUAAACAAUUCAAAAUA